rnacentral:rRNA from 1 species
UUGGCUCUCGCAUCGAUGAAGAACGCAGCGAAAUGCGAUAAGUAAUGUGAAUUGCAGAAUUCAGUGAAUCAUCGAAUCUUUGAACGCACCUUGCGCUCCUUGGUAUUCCGAGGAGCAUGCCUGUUUGAGUGUCAUUAAAUUCUCAACCCCUCCAGCUUUUGUUGCUGGUUGUGGCUUGGAUAUGGGAGUGUUUGCUGGUCUCAUUCGAGAUCAGCUCUCCUGAAAUGUAUUAGU